CACGUAGGGGGCGAGCGUUGUCCGGAUUUAUUGGGCGUAAAGAGCUCGUAGGCGGCUCAGUAAGUCGGGUGUGAAAACUCCAGGCUCAACCUGGAGACGCCACCUGAUACUGCUGUGGCUAGAGUCCGGUAGGGGAGCAUGGAAUUCCUGGUGUAGCGGUGAAAUGCGCAGAUAUCAGGAGGAACACCGGUGGCGAAGGCGGCAUCCUGGACCGACAUUGACGCUGAGGAGCGAAAGCUAGGGGAGCAAACGGG
rnacentral:rRNA from 1 species